ACGAACGCUGGCGGCGUGCUUAACACAUGCAAGUCGAACGGAAAGGCCCUGCUUUUGUGGGGUGCUCGAGUGGCGAACGGGUGAGUAACACGUGAGUAACCUGCCCUUGACUUUGGGAUAACUUCAGGAAACUGGGGCUAAUACCGGAUAGGAGCUCCUGCUGCAUGGUGGGGGUUGGAAAGUUUCGGCGGUUGGGGAUGGACUCGCGGCUUAUCAGCUUGUUGGUGGGGUAGUGGCUUACCAAGGCUUUGACGGGUAGCCGGCCUGAGAGGGUGACCGGCCACAUUGGGACUGAGAUACGGCCCAGACUCCUACGGGAGGGAGCAGUGGGGAAUAUUGCACAAUGGGCGGAAGCCUGAUGCAGCAACGCCGCGUGCGGGAGGACGGCCUUCGGGUUGUAAACCGCUUUCGCCUGUGACGAAGCGUGAGUGACGGUAAUGGGUAAAGAAGCACCGGCUAACUACGU
rnacentral:rRNA from 1 species